UCCGGGGCCCGGAGGGCGUCAGCCCGCUAACCCCGUCAGGACCCCGAAGGUAGCAGCGGCAUGAGGUGCCUGACGUUGCUUCGUCAGCCCCGGAGCA
rnacentral:SRP_RNA from 1 species